CGUAUCGUGUCGUCGUGACUUUCGUGCCGAGAGCCCCCGUGAUCGGGCCAGAAAUUGUUGCAGGGAAAAUAGUCAGCCUUUAUUCUUCGGAUUGAUCAGUAUUCUUUCCGAGAUCCGAGAGUUUUGUGCGAUUCAAUCUUCCUUUUUUUCUGUAGUUGAGAUCUAGCUCCUAACACCACCAACAACAACCAUGGCUGACGAUGAAGCAAAGAAGGCCAAACAGGCCGAAAUCGAGCGCAAGCGUGCGGAAGUGCGCAAGCGUAUGGAGGAAGCUUCCAAAGCAAAGAAGGCCAAGAAGGGUUUCAUGACUCCAGAAAGAAAGAAGAAACUCAGGUUGUUGUUGCGUAAGAAAGCCGCCGAAGAACUGAAGAAAGAACAGGAGCGUAAAGCAGCGGAACGUAGGCGCAUCAUCGAAGAGCGAUGCGGCAAGCCAAAGAGCGUCGAAGAUGCCAACGAAGACGUGUUGAAAGACAUUGUUAGAGAAUAUUACAACCGUAUGUAUACAUGUGAAGGCCAAAAAUGGGAUUUGGAAUUCGAAGUCCGGAAAAGAGAUUGGGAGAUUUCCGACCUCAACGCCCAAGUCAACGACCUUCGCGGUAAAUUCGUCAAGCCAACGCUGAAGAAGGUCUCCAAGUACGAGAACAAAUUCGCCAAGCUGCAGAAGAAGGCCGCCGAAUUUAACUUCCGUAACCAGCUCAAGGUUGUCAAAAAGAAGGAAUUCACCCUGGAAGAGGAAGAUAAGGAGGCUAAGAAAUCGGAGAAGGCUGACUGGCAGAAGAAGUAGAGGGGAUUACAAAACCACUUUUCUUUUAAUUAUCUUUUUGUAUAUUUAAAAUUAACUGCAAUCCAUAUGUGUCUAUUUAUUAGUUUCGAGAAUUAUUAUUGUUAAUUUUAACAACACAAAAAAACGUGGCAAUAAGAGAGCUAGAACUGUUAAUUUGUCGCCAAAUCCGCCGCUACCAGCAGUAAUGCAGAAAGUAACAAAUCGAAAAAUUCGCAAAUAAAACAUCGUGGUACGGAACAACUGCGUUGGUGUGAUUCUGUAGAUUAAAAGAAAACGAGUUUUGUAUCUGUCCAUCAGUUCCGUGGGAACUGAGCGUAAGAUUCGCCCGAACAGAAAGCCAGUCAAAUAUUUGUUGUGGAAAUGGAUAGAAGAAACCCGAUUGGUCCAAGAAGGGCGACGCCAAGGUAACGGCCGAAGCAGUCGAUGCCGAAGCAUAAGGCAUCACCUGUGCGCUAAUUCUAAAUCUUCGUCCUUACCACCAUUCAAAAUCCAUAAGCACUCAUCUUUAUUUGUCUGUUUUAUAAUCUAAAAAAAUAUUAAAUAAAAAGAAGGCAAACAUAUUUAUGUAUAAUUGUCAACCGUACCCGUGGAGCGUGGAGUUGAACGAGAAAUCGAAAGGAAAAGAAGGAUUUCCUGUCCCCCUCUUCCCGUUUCUGUUCCCAAUUACCUGAACAAAUCCUAACCCUUCCCGAGUACCCAUCCCUGAUCUGUUCCAGAGGUGUCACUAGCCAGCCUAGUGAUAAAACCGCUCUGUCGUCGAACAAUGACUCCCAUUUUCUAUAUGUAUUUAUGACUUCAAAAUAAACGUGUAUUUUGGAACGAGUAAAAAUCAUUCUGUGAACUAA